GGCAGGCAAAAAUGGCGGCACGCUUGAAUCGUGGCGAAGGCACAGCACAGUGGUAAACAAUCGGCAAUUACUAUAAAACCGCUACAAAUCAUGGUGUGGAGAUUUCAGGGGGGAUGACGUCAUACAAACCAGAGACCAGUUCAACAGCAACAGGGAUAAAAAGUUUCCUGGAGACAGUCUUGUAUGAACCAUGCUGGACCAAGGUGGUUGCAUCACCCGUACACGUGUCAAGCGAGGGGGGUGACAACACCCAGGCACCUGAGGCACGUGAGAGAGAGGCACUGCCAGGAUCCUACGUCACCGCAGGGUGACAUAUAAGCAGCCAAGAUCCAACGGUAAAACCAGUCGGUCUUCGGACGGCCACGAUUGCACGAGCCAACGAGUCGGUCUUCGGACAGCCAUGAACGAACGAUCACGCUCGAGAGAGCGCACACACACCGUUGGAGGGAGAGCCACCCUGUAAUGUUGGAAUGAGCAUUCACGUAGAAAUGAUAAAGUAGAUCCAACUCCAGAACUUGUGUGGUAAACUGUAUAACCUUUAAUAUCUUAUACACAUCACAUCUCCUUACACACAGACAAAGACCCGCGCACACGCGCGGUCGCGCGUGCGCGUACUCUCGCGACCAGAACCCGAAUCUUCUCCUUUUACAUCUCUCCUCUAUAUAUUCCCCCAAAACUCCUACAAACCACAUGCACUA